UACGUAGGCGGCGAGCGUUGUCCGGAUUUAUUGGGUUUAAAGGGUGCGUAGGCGGCCCUAUAAGUCAGUGGUGAAAUAUCGCAGCUUAACUGUGAGGGUGCCAUUGAUACUGUAGGGCUUGAGUGAAUUUGAGGUAGGCGGAAUUGACGGUGUAGCGGUGAAAUGCUUAGAUAUCGUCAAGAACACCGAUAGUGAAGACAGCUUACCAAGCUUCAACUGACGCUGAGGCACGAAGGCGUGGGGAGCGAACGGG
rnacentral:rRNA from 1 species